rnacentral:ncRNA from 1 species
CCUUAUCAAGAGAGAUGGAGGGAGCAGACCCUACGAAAUCCAGCAACCUGCUUGUGCAAGGUGCUAAUUUCUGCGGUAUAACCGGAAGAUGAGG